UAUCUAUCUGUCACUAUCGUUCCGUAGGUGUUCACCAAUACAAACGUGUGCGUAUGAACGUAUUGGUAACUUCUAUACUUUUAACGUUCUACGUUCCAUUCGUUAGUUCAUUCAUUGCAGUCGUGAUACUCAUUUCAGUGCGUCAAAGUCAGUGUUUCAAGCCAAAAGUUGUUUUUUUUUGCUAAAUAACCUUACGUUGAAUUUAAUAUUUAUGUGUCUAAUAAAAAAAUAGAAACAUGGAUGGAAACAAUGAUAUUGAAGGAUUCGAAAGACGACCAAGAAGAUAUGGUUCACCGAUAGAAAUUGCUGACUUUUAUUCGGAAAGCGAUGAUGAUGAUGUGAAGGAUAUCAAAAUUGAACCAAAUUUUGAUUUAACUGAUCAAAUUCCGUUGAUUUCUUAUCAACUGAAUAGUGGAAUUCCAAAUAUGAAAGAGAAAAACGAUUCGCAGUCACAGCACUAUGAUAUAUCAAAUAUUAAGAUUGACGUCGAUGCAGACCAACCUGGUAUUUCUAUACCGUUGCCUUAUGAUGGAAGUGUAAGCAAUACGAGAUUAAUUUAUCGUAGCUGUGAUCCAAUGCAUUCAAUAUUUACAAAUGAACAAUAUAAACAAAUAAUCAAAAACGUUACCAACGUAACUCAUUUGAUAAACUCAUUGGAAGAAACGGUCGAUAAACAUAUUCGAGGCAUUGAUAGUGAUUCAAGUAAAACAAAUUCAUCAAGUGACGACGAAAGUAGUUCAAGUGAUUCAGAUAGUUCAAGCAGCUCAUCAACAUCUAGUGUGGCCAGUUCAAAAGAUGAUAAAAAAAGAAAACACAUCCGAAGUUCGAAUAGAAAUCGACGCAUCGAUUCCUGUUCAAGAAGUAGUUUGCAAAAUGAAAGAAAUGUGGUCAAUAUUCCAAAACCAACCAGUUUUAAUCAUCAUUUUCAAGUUGACACAAAUAGUCGUAGCGACAUCCCAGAACAUGAAUCGUAUUCAAUACCGAAAAAUACAGAGAAUUUAAAUUCAGAUUCAUCUUCAGGAGAAUGUUUUCAACCACCAGCGGAAAAGCGAAUUCGUGUCGAUGAAACAAAUCAAACAAAUUCCACAUCGGCAAAUGUGCGAAACCAAGGAGAAUCCCAAUUGAAAAACAUCGACAAGACUCUAUUUUUCAAUAGCAUAAAAGCAAAAACUUGUCAAAUUUGUCACCGAUGUUACACAUUAAUGACUGCUCAUUAUAAAAAGGUUCAUCCAAAUCAUGAGGUGCUUGUAUCUAGAAUUUCACCUGAAAUGGCCAAAGAUGUUGAAAAUUUAAACCGAUCGUUCUUAACACCUGAAAAGAAUAUUUUUGCUGCAUUUUGCAUAUUCUGUGAAACUCAGCAUAGUUACCGUUUGCAGUACUGGAUCGAUCAUAUUCGAUCUCAUACGGGCGAGUAUGGAUAUAAAUGCUCAAUUUGUGAAAAAGAUCAUUCAUUCGAUAGAAACAUAUGUUGUGGACAACUACCGAAUAUUAAAUACCCGUUUGACUUACGUUUUGAAGAUUUAACUGCUUUUAUGUGUCGAAAAUGUAAUUUUGUUCAAAUAAAUGAGCAAAAUAUUCAAAAACAUUUGAGAAACGAACAUGAAAUUGAGCACAUCAAUGGCCAUUAUAAGCAGAUCAUUUUGCUAUCAGCACUCAGCAAAACAUUGAACGGUGGACAUCAUUCACCGUAUACACAUUAUUCGGUUUUUCAAAUGUUUUCACCUCGUAAUGUAUAAUUUUAAUGUACACACACCGAUUUUUUUAUGAAUAAAGCAACAAACAUUUAAAAAUGAUAAAUGAUGACUGAGGCUGAAAUCACAAAUAUUGGACCGUCAACGUCAAGCAGCUACCAUAUAAAAGAUGAGCCAGAUUUAAUUGUACUUUCCAGUGAUGAUGAAAAUGACAAAAAACCAAUUCAACAUAGUGGUUACGGCAGGAGCCAUUUAAAUGGAAAAUCAGGCGACAUACAUACUGAUAGUACGCUAAAUAAAGUUACCUGCAACCAACAUAGUGGAAAUAAACAAUAUCAUGAGAUGAUUCAAAGUAUAAAAAAUCUAACAAAUGAAGUGGAAGCACUUCAACAGAUAUAUGAGGAAUACGAUUCCGACAGCAGUUCAAAUAGCGAAAAACACGUUAAAAAUGCAAAAUAUUCGAGUAGUGACGACACCAAUAGCUCUGAUAAGCGACAAAAGAAACAUCGCCGACGACUCAAGAAAUCACAUCGAAAACGAUCUUCUGAUAAACGGUUCAAGACGUAUGAAAAAAAUGGUCGAUACCGAUCGGGUUCGGAAGCAUAUGCCAGCAUGUCGGAAGGUUAUUUGAAUAACGCGAAUCAAAUCUACCAAAAAUUAUCGAAAUCAAUGGGUGCUCAUCAUAAAAAUAUCCAUAAAAACCACAAGGUGUUUGUAUCGAGGCUGUCCGAAGAAAUGGUGAAUAAAGUCAAGAAUGGAUCUUGUGUUGCUGUAAAAUUUCACGAGUCAAAUAUGGAGUGUUUGGCUGCAUAUUGCUUUUUUUGUGAAUCUUUUAAACAAUUUCCAUGCCAUAUUUGGAUCCAACACAUUCAGAUGCAUACCGGUGAAUUUUCCUUUCAGUGUAAAGUUUGCCGAAAGUUUUGCCGUCCUCAUUGUACUCAUUUUCUUUAUGCAAAGAUGAAAUAUAAAAUAAAUUUUCGCAACAAAGAUCUCAACGCAUUUAUUUGUAAAAAGUGCAAUUUCACUCAAAUAAAUGAAGAAAACAUUCGCAAACAUCUUAAAAAUGAACAUAGAUGUGGAGAUAUUGACCAUCUAUAUGAUCAAGUUACAUUGUUGACCGCAUUCAGCAGUAUUAAAACACCAAUCUUACAA